GUCCUAGCUGUAAACGAUGAUCACUGGGUGUGGGGGGUCGAACCUCCGUGCCGAAGUUAAUGCGAUAAGUGAUCCGGCCUGGGGAGUACGUUCGCAAGAAUGAAACUCAAAGGAAUUGACGGGGACCCGCACAAGCGGUGGAGCAUGUGGUUUAAUUCGACGCAACGCGAGGAACCUUACCAGUUCUUGACAUCCUACAAACUUUCUGGAGACAGAAUUGGUGCCCUUUCGGGGGGAAUGUAGUGACAGGUGGUGCAUGGCUGUCGU
rnacentral:rRNA from 1 species